AUUGAACGCUGGCGGCAGGCCUAACACAUGCGAGUCGAGCGGAUGAAGGGAGCUUGCUCCUGGAUUCAGCGGCGGACGGGUGAGUAAUGCCUAGGAAUCAGCCUGGUAGUGGGGGAUAACGUCCGGAAACGGGCGCUAAUACCGCAUACGUCCUGAGGGAGAAAGUGGGGGAUCUUCGGACCUCACGCUAUCAGAUGAGCCUAGGUCGGAUUAGCUAGUUGGUGGGGUAAAGGCCUACCAAGGCGACGAUCCGUAACUGGUCUGAGAGUAUGAUCAGUCACACUGGAACUGAGACACGGUCCAGACUCCUACGGGAGGCAGCAGUGGGGAAUAUUGGACAAUGGGCGAAAGCCUGAUCCAGCCAUGCCGCGUGUGUGAAGAAGGUCUUCGGAUUGUAAAGCACUUUAAGUUGGGAGGAAGGGCAGUAAGUUAAUACCUUGCUGUUUUGACGUUACCAACAGAAUAAGCACCGGCUAACUUCGUG
rnacentral:rRNA from 1 species